rnacentral:lncRNA from 1 species
UUAAAACCUAGGUGGAUAGUCUAGUGAAAUAAGUCUUAGGCGAUUUUUCCUGUCUCGGUAUAUUGUUCCAUAAUUGUUCAUCCAGAUCUUGCAAACCGAUCUAAACUCUCCGAAAGUCGAGAAACGAUCGCCACGCUUGCUUCCUAAAGAGAGAAAAAGUUAGAGACAUGAACGUCGUCUUAAAACCGAUUCGUUUCUGGCAAUUUUCUCGGAACCGACAUAUCCCAAGUCGUCAACGUGGAAACAACCAAAUCACAGUCCAAGCGUCGUCUAUAAAUCGCCCCGAAUUAUCGAUCAUUC